UACAGAGGUCUCAAGCGUUGUUCGGAUUCAUUGGGCGUAAAGGGUGCGUAGGUGGCGGGGUAAGUCAGGUGUGAAAUCUCGGAGCUCAACUCCGAAACUGCACUUGAUACUGCCUUGCUUGAGUACUGGAGAGGAGAUUGGAAUUUACGGUGUAGCAGUGAAAUGCGUAGAUAUCGUAAGGAAGACCAGUGGCGAAGGCGAAUCUCUGGACAGUUACUGACACUGAGGCACGAAGGCCAGGGGGAGCAAACGGG
rnacentral:rRNA from 1 species